CCUACGGGAGGCAGCAGUGGGGAAUAUUGCACAAUGGGGGCAACCCUGAUGCAGCGACGCCGCGUGAGCGAUGAAGUAUUUCGGUAUGUAAAGCUCUAUCAGCAGGGAAGAAAAUGACCGUACCUGACUAAGAAGCCCUGGCUAACUACGUGCCAGCAGCCGCGGUAAUACGUAGGGGGCAAGCGUGAUCCGGAUUUACUGGGUGUAAAGGGAGCGUAGACGGCUGUGCAAGCCAGAUGUGAAAGCCCGGGGCUCAACCCCGGGACGGCAUUUGCAACUGUGGGGCUGGAGUGUCGGAGAGGCAGGCGGAAUUCCUAGUGUAGCGGUGAAAUGCGUAGAUAUUAGGAGGAACACCAGUGGCGAAGGCGACCUGCUGGACGAUGACUGACGUUGAGGCUCGAAAGCGUGGGGAGCAAACAGGAUUAGAUACCCGAGUAGUC
rnacentral:rRNA from 1 species